rnacentral:lncRNA from 1 species
GACUGUCUCAUUUUCUAGGAGUGUCACUGUCAAGUGAAUGGAUCUUUCACUGUUUAAUGGCCUAUAGCAGGCAGUCUAGAAUGGCAGUAAUUUCAGUGUUGGAGGGUGGGGAUCAGGGAAAUACAGCAGUGGCCUAAGAUUUGUCUGGAUUCUGUAUGAGAAGGGAGACAGCCCUGGGAGAACAGAAUGAGGCAGGCAGGGGUCACAAAUGGAACUUGGCAAUCACGCGUAGACCCGCAAGGCCUGGGAAGUAAGCAGACAGGACUUGUAACUGUGGUGUGAUUUAACCUAGUCCAGCGCUUUAACUAUGCUGGAGUUGGAGCACAGUAAAUCAUUUAGGAAUGCAAACCUUGGUUAUUGCUGUUGAAAGGGAAUUCUGAAACUGAACAGCCUGAGAAAGGCGAGAAAUGUUUUCCCAGUCUUUGGGAGGCUUGGCUUUGGGAGUUGGUGUCUGGUUCCAUUCCUGGCACGCAGUCCCCACGAGUGCUGCUCACCACAGAAGGGAGGCCAGAAUGAAAGGGAGUCUCGAACUUUACGUUUCUUUUGUCUGAGCAUCUUGAGUAGAUAACUGAAUGGAUCGUACCUCCUCCCUGUUGCAGUUUUCUCCCACACAACCCCUGAAAGCAUAACUUUAUCCUCUAGAAAUUUAUGGUAUGGCAUCAUAUUGGGAGUCUUGAACCGAAAAGCACUUUCUCACGGUUUACUGAUGGAAGAGUUUCCAGCUGUCCAGAGAGCUGAGGCCAGCACAAGUCUCUAGAGGGUCCCUUUGGAAAACUGCUGUGGUAACUGGUUUUUAUCAUAGACUCUGCAGCUGCAUUGGCUGAAUUUUAACCCCUGGAACUUAAAUGGUUAACAAUAACAUAAAGUCUUUUGAAAGUUUAAAAACAGUUUCUGGUGGUGUAGAGUAACUAGGGAGUGCCCUGUGGCUGGCUAGCAGCAAAGGCUGGACGUGAGCUGACCCUAGCCAAAAUUUUGGAGUUGUGCUCAUUACAAAAAGAAUAAGGUUUAUACAUUGGCCAAAAUAGUUUACUAUUAAAACGUUGACUAUUUGUGUAUUUUUCACAUUUUAAACUGGGAUACUUUAGCACAGCAUAUGACUGUAUUUUAGCUAGGCCACGUCCUUUGUCUAGUUUCUUCCUUAUCCCUAAGCCCUGCUCUGAAAUAACUGUUAGCUGCCCACCCCCACCCCCAGUGGCCAAGCUUAAUGCAUACUUCAAAGGACAGCAAAGGACAGCCGCCACUGGGGAGUUUCCACUUUCUUUUUGGGUGUUAUUGGUGACCUCAGCUUCAUUCAUUGGGCUUCCUUCAUGGCAGCUAAGUCAGUCCCACAGGCUUUCAGCUGCAGUUUUACAACCUGUCAAAACCAAGUUGCCUUUGCAUUAAGCAUGCUUUUCUUUGAAGACUUAGAAACACUAUGACCUAUGGGUAUUGCAGCCUGAGCUUGGCUGAGACUGCCCACUGUGAAAGAGUUCAAGUUGUACAUGUGAGUGUCCCUGAUGGUUACCGUGAAUGGUGAAUGCUCUAGACCCUGCAUCACAUAUCCACCCACGCAGAGGACCGAAACAAACACUGCCUGGCCAUGUCUGAGGCAGCAUGUGUUCCUAUUCUGGCUUUUAUUUGCUGGGUUUUGUAUUGUUUGUUUGUUGUUAUUGGUGAUGGUGGUGUGUGCACACAUUCCAACAUGUGAAGAUGUCAGACCUCAGGCCUCAUCUUCCAUCCUGCUUGAGACAAUGGGAUGCCCGUUGUUUUGCCUCCACAUCCUCCAGAUUAGCUGGUACACAAGGCUCUGCAUCCUCUAGGCUAGCUGGCACACAAGGCUCUGCAUCCUCUAGGCUAGCUGGCACACAAGGCUCUGCAUCCUCCAGGCUAGCUGACACACAAGGCUCUGCAUCCUCCAGGUUACCUGACACACAAGGCUCUGCAUCCUCCAGGUUAGCUGGCACACAAGGCUCUGCAUUCUCCAGGCUAGCUGGCACACAAGGCUCUGCAUCCUCUAGGCUAGCUGACACAAGGCUCUGCAUCCUCCAGGUUAGCUGGCACACAAGGCUCUGCAUCCUCCAGGUUAGCUGGCACACAAGGCUCUGCAUCCUCUAGGCUAGCUGACACACAAGGCUCUGCAUCUUCCAGGUUAGCUGACACACAAGGCUCUGCAUCCUCCAGGUUAGCUGACACACAAGGCUCUGCAUCCUCUAGGCUAGCUGGCACACAAGGCUCUGCAUCCUCUAGGCUAGCUGACACACAAGGCUCUGCAUCCUCCAGGCUAGCUGACACACAAGGCUCUGCAUCCUCCAGGUUACCUGACACACAAGGCUCUGCAUCCUCCAGGUUAGCUGGCACACAAGGCUCUGCAUUCUCCAGGCUAGCUGGCACACAAGGCUCUGCAUCCUCUAGGCUAGCUGACACAAGGCUCUGCAUCCUCCAGGUUAGCUGGCACACAAGGCUCUGCAUCCUCCAGGUUAGCUGGCACACAAGGCUCUGCAUCCUCUAGGCUAGCUGACACACAAGGCUCUGCAUCUUCCAGGUUAGCUGACACACAAGGCUCUGCAUCCUCCAGGUUAGCUGACACACAAGGCUGCAUCCUCCAGGUUAGCUGACACACAAGGCUCUGCAUCCUCCAGAUUAGCUGGUACACAAGGCUCUGCAUCCUCUAGGCUAGCUGGUACACAAGGCUCUGCAUCCUCCAGGUUAGCUGACACACAAGGCUCUCCAUCCUCCAGGUUAGCUGGCACACAAGGCUCUGCAUCCUCCAGGUUAGCUGACACACAAGGCUCUGCAUCCUCUAGGCUAGCUGGUACACAAGGCUCUGGGGCUUCUGUACACUUCCCAUCCUCUUGAAGAAAGGCUGUAAUUACUGGCAUUACUGUAUGUCCGUCUUUCACGUGGACUCUCCCACUCAGGCCCUCACGAUUGUACGUCAAGUGCUCUCACCUACUGACCCACCUCUGCAGCCUGUAUGUUUU